AAAAGGAACCAUUAAAACCAAGAAAAUCAUCCUCUUCUUCUGCAAACUUGUUUCCAUCAAAAGAAACAUCCCCGGGGCUAUUUAUUUCCGAUUGAAUAAUUUUGGCACUAGGAAGUUUGUGAUCUUCAACAGAUUCUUCAGAGUGCACAGCUUUUAUCUCUUCACCAGUGACAAUAGAAGAUUUCUUGACUUCAUCAUGCUGUAUGAUCUUCUUGAGAAGUUUCUGCUGAAAUUUGAUUUGAUUGAACUUCGGAAUGCAAUUGUUGUUGUGUAUUGGCUGAACUGAUGUCAAUAUCCUCAGAUAAAAGUUGGAAACCUAAACCCUUGGCUAGAGAGCUUAGUUUUCCAUCUUUCUUUUGUUGGACAAUGUAACCCAAUAACUCGUUCAAAGAACUCACUUGUAGAUCAGAAGCUACAUUAUCCACACUAACUUGCUUACCCUCAUUAAUAAUUGUAAUGGAAGAUAUCUUCUUGUU
rnacentral:lncRNA from 1 species